rnacentral:rRNA from 1 species
AACGAACGCUGGCGGCAUGCCUAACACAUGCAAGUCGAACGAGACCUUCGGGUCUAGUGGCGCACGGGUGCGUAACGCGUGGGAACCUGCCCUUAGGUUCGGAAUAACUCCCCGAAAGGGGUUCUAAUACCGGAUAAUGUCUUCGGACCAAAGAUUUAUCGCCUUUGGAUGGGCCCGCGUUGGAUUCGCUAGUUGGUAGGGUAAAAGCCUACCAAGGCGACGAUCCAUAGCUGGUCUGAGAGGAUGAUCAGCCACACUGGGACUGAGACACGGCCCAGACUCCUACGGGAGGCAGCAGUGGGGAAUAUUGGACAAUGGGCGAAAGCCUGAUCCAGCAAUGCCGCGUGAGUGAUGAAGGCCUUAGGGUUGUAAAGCUCUUUUACCCGGGAUGAUAAUGACAGUACCGGGAGAAUAAGCUCCGGCUAACUCCGUG